AGAAUGCUAGGAUCACAGACGUGAGCCGCCAUGCCUAGCCAUACUCCUUAUUCCUGAAGGGAGUGGGUACUGUCUCCAGGUUGUUUUAUGAUGUCUCUUCAGCCUCUCUAGAGCACCUGACCAGCUAGAUCUCAUGAGUUGAUUAAGUAGUGGCAGUGUGUUGCAGGGAGUGAGAGGAAAGAGGUGGGAAUGAGUGGGCUAACAUUCAGCUUCCUUGAAGAGCCAUCUCACCUCAAUACUGUGAGAGGAACAGUGGGAGUGACUCUUAUAGCUCAGACUUAUAGCCCAGGCUCUACUGGCAACAUCUAUUUUCUAAAACCCCGUGAAAAAGUAGGAGAAACUGCACCUCUGCAGUAGUUCUGUAUGUUUGUACUCUGGUGACUUGUCUUUUACUCUAGUGAAACAAAUCUGAAAGUAAAGCAGGCCCUCUCAGUUACUAGUGACAUGGAAGAUCACCUGGAGCUUCUGUCUGCCUUUGAUGGAGUAGUGAGAUGUGAGGCUCCCAAUAACAAACUGGACAAAUUCUCAGGAAUACUGACCUAUAAGGGGAAAAAAUACUUCCUGGACCAGGACAAUUUGCUACUUCGAGGCUGCAUCAUCAGGAAUACAGAUUGGUGCUAUGGCUUGGUGAUCUACACUGGGCCAGACACCAAAUUAAUGCAGAACAGUGGAAAGUCUACUUUUAAACGAACACAGAUAGACCAUCUCAUGAAUGUUCUUGUACUCUGGAUUUUCCUGCUUUUAGGCAUCAUAUGUUUUAUCCUAGCAGUUGGGCAUGGCAUUUGGGAAAACAAGAAAGGCUACCACUUCCAGAUUUUUCUGCCAUGGGAAAAAUAUGUCUCUUCAUCAGCUGUCUCUGCCAUCCUCAUAUUCUGGUCCUACUUCAUUAUUCUCAAUACCAUGGUACCCAUUUCCCUCUAUGUCAGGUGAUACUUAUGACAAGGAUGGACAGAGGGUGACAGUCUCUGAGAAAGAAAAGGUCGAUUUCUCCUUCAACAAACUGGCUGACCCUAAGUUUUCAUUUUAUGACAAGACUUUGGUGGAAGCAGUGAAAAAGGGAGAUCACUGGGUACACUUAUUUUUCCGCUCACUCUCAUUGUGUCAUACUGUGAU
rnacentral:lncRNA from 1 species